UACGUAGGGGGCAAGCGUUGUCCGGAUUUAUUGGGCGUAAAGAGCGUGUAGGCGGCUAUACAGGUCCGUUGUGAAAAACUCGAGGCUCAACCUCGAGACGCCGAUGGAAACCGUAUGGCUAGAGUCCGGAAGAGGAGAGCGGAAUUCCUGGUGUAGCGGUGAAAUGCGCAGAUAUCAGGAAGAACACCCGUGGCGAAGGCGGCUCUCUGGGACGGUACUGACGCUGAGACGCGAAAGCGUGGGGAGCGAACAGG
rnacentral:rRNA from 1 species